CCCAGGCGUUGCUUCACCUUGUAGCCGGGGUCGUACUCAGGAUCAUCUGUGGUCUCCUCCUCCUCUUCCUCCUCCUCAUCUUCUUCUGAGUCCGGCUCUGAGAGAGUGUAUUCCGAGUCAGAGGAAUGUUCAGGGCCUGGAGAGAGGUCCUCUUCAUCUUCUUCCAAGCUGGCAUAGCCUCCAGUCUCAGCUGGCUCACGGGUCUCUGUCAUGGCCAGGGGAGGGGACAGGAGACAGGAGCAGAGCAGCAGCUGAGCAGUGUCCCUCCCCGGCCAGUUCUCUGCAGCCACACCUCUGGCCACAAGCUGCUUACGCAGGAUGUCAGCAGGUGGAGAGGGAUGCUGGGCGGGAGAAAUGAAAGGCCUGUGGUAACAUAAUAAAUUUAUACAUAGCAUCUGCCUC